CACGACUGAGACGAUGACGUCUCGAUCGUCCAGGGAUGGGAGCCAGGCCAUUUUCGUCCAAUCCCUGCAGGAGUAGCAAUCUCCCUCGGACCACUUCAGAGGAGUGCUUUCCUCAGGUUCCAAAUACAGCACCUUCCACAUAAGCACAGAUGUAGUUGCUUCUGCUAGGGAUAUGUCAGCAAGUGUACCUGAGUGUCUCCCAUGCCUCACUGAUAGGAACUGUCAGAACACAACUUGCACGUGGUCUAACGAAAGCUAGCGGUGCAUUCUGACUGGUCUUUUGCUGAAGAAGGGCGUUGUAAAUGCCGCUAUGGUCUGUCAUGCAGUCAUGUAGAUCAAUUUGCCCGCCCCGCAGGGGAUAAACAAGCCGACGCCCUCUCGGCUGACAACAGAAGUAUUUGUGCCGUGUCCCUUUCUUCUCUGGAUCAAAUGAUGUAUUUACUCUUCUUCUGUUGUUGC
rnacentral:lncRNA from 1 species